GAGUUUGAUCUUGGCUCAGAACGAACGCUGGCGGCAGGCUUAACACAUGCAAGUCGAACGGGCCCUUCGGGGUCAGUGGCAGACGGGUGAGUAACGCGUGGGAACGUGCCCUUCAGUUCGGGAUAACCCAGGGAAACUUGGGCUAAUACCGGAUACGUGCGAGAGCAGAAAGAUUUAUCGCUGAAGGAUCGGCCCGCGUCUGAUUAGCUGGUUGGUGGGGUAAUGGCCCACCAAGGCGACGAUCAGUAGCUGGUCUGAGAGGAUGAUCAGCCACAUUGGGACUGAGACACGGCCCAAACUCCUACGGGAGGCAGCAGUGGGGAAUAUUGGACAAUGGGCGCAAGCCUGAUCCAGCCAUGCCGCGUGAGUGAUGAAGGCCUUAGGGUUGUAAAGCUCUUUCGUCCGGGACGAUAAUGACGGUACCGGAAGAAGAAGCCCCGGCUAACUUCGUGCCAGCCGCCGCCGUAAC
rnacentral:rRNA from 1 species